UAAGUAGAACGUAUGUACAGUUAUGAGCAAUCUAUUUUUUAAUUAAAUCAUUAGAUCGUAAAUAAUUUAUAUUUUCAAAAAACUCAUUGCAUAAUUUAUUCCACUCCCUUAUAGACUUUUAACAAGUGUGUUAAGAAUUAUCGAAGUAAUAAAGUAUAAAAUUCUUCUCCACAUGAACUACUUUAUUUUCUACUCGGCAAAGACAUUAUCAAUACGGAUGCAUUAAAAUUGGGGGGACUCACAACGGAAAUAGUUUUUUUAACACUCAUAAAAUAAAUAGCAAAAUGUAAAUAGAUUUGUAAUGAUUUUUUGGAGAAAAAUGAUCUUGUCUUUCGAAUCUUAUAUCAGUCAAUGUUUAGUAAAUUGCACUUAAACCCUACAAUUAUUAUUCUAGUUUCAUUAUAAUUAACAAAGUAGCUCUAAUCAAUCUCUUAGGUGAGUCUGUAACAUCGAAUGUUUUAUUGAACGUAAUAUUUGAUAUCUCU
rnacentral:lncRNA from 1 species